ACGAGCGCUGGCGGCGUGCUUCACACAUGCAAGUCGAACGGAAAGGCCCUGCUUUUGUGGGGUGCUCGAGUGGCGAACGGGUGAGUAACACGUGAGUAACCUGCCCUUGACUUUGGGAUAACUUCAGGAAACUGGGGCUAAUACCGGAUAGGAGCUCCUGCUGCAUGGUGGGGGUUGGAAAGUUUCGGCGGUUGGGGAUGGACUCGCGGCUUAUCAGCUUGUUGGUGGGGUAGUGGCUUACCAAGGCUUUGACGGGUAGCCGGCCUGAGAGGGUGACCGGCCACAUUGGGACUGAGAUACGGCCCAGACUCCUACGGGAGGCAGCAGUGGGGAAUAUUGCACAAUGGGCGGAAGCCUGAUGCAGCAACGCCGCGUGCGGGAUGACGGCCUUCGGGUUGUAAACCGCUUUCGCCUGUGACGAAGCGUGAGUGACGGUAAUGGGUAAAGAAGCACCGGCUAACUACGUG
rnacentral:rRNA from 1 species